AUAGUUGAUAUAGUUAAUUAAGCUAACAUAGUCAAUGCAAGGCUUAUCUAUGUGAGGCAUUGUGCUAGGCAUUAUGAAGAAAAUAAAGAUGAAUAAGACAUUCACCAACACUCAAGGAGUUUGUAAUUUAACUGGGGAGAAAGGAGCGCUAAGAUAAGUAAACAAAUACUUCUAAAGCAAUUUUAACCAGUUUGCACUGAAUAUAAAUUAGUGUCUCUUUUUGAGGUUGACUUUGAAAGACAUGUUAGGUUGUAGCUAUGCUAUUUGACAAAACUCAUUCAGGUACUAUGGUUCAAGUAGCUAGAAAAUACUAUGGUUCAAGUAGCUAGAAAAUACUAUGGUUCAAGUAGCUAGUCCUUGUAUCAUUAGGAAGAGCUAAAAUUGUUUAUUUUAAAAGGAAAUACUGAACUCCUGGUCUGAUUUACAUAGUGAUAGAAUUAAGCCUUUGCCCAAAGUCUAGCUAGCACUUAGAGAAUGUGAAUGAAUCUUUUAUUCAUGUGAAUGCCCUUUGUAGACUCUGUGAUUUCUGAGUCUGUGCUUAUUCAAGUACUCCAGAGCCUAGGAAAAUGGCAUCAUUCCCAAACUCAUGUUCUCAACAGUGACAGGCAAAAGAGUUUGAAAAAGCACACUCAGACAUCAUUAUUUGUCAUUUUGGGUGUUGGGAUCAUAGCUAUUUAAAACUUCUCGUUAAAAAAAUAAAAAUAAAAAAAAAUAAAAAUAAAACUUCUCGUUAUCUCCUUGUGUAUUUCCCGUCUUUAAUUUAACAUUAUAUGUAUAGCAAAAUAAAUUGAAAAGCUUAAAAGGGCACAUGAAUAUUAUUUCAUGAGAGGAGAAAGAGAUUGGUUUUACCCACAUGCUGCCAGACUCUGUCCCUGUGAAACAAAUGCCUAGGUAUUACCAGAGAAAAUUUCAUUAUGAUACAUUGAGGGGGGAAGAACUCAGUCUCAUUAAUUAGCACAAAAUGUAAUGAAAUCAAUUACGCAACAAAUGUUGAGGAGUUAUUAAGACUCUUUCAUAUGUAGUAUAAAUUAAUGGGAGAAAUUGGCUGAGGAGGAAACCAGAUUCUCCAAGGAACCAGUGCCCAUUAUAUUCAGAGUAUAAAUGAGCCGAAAGCCAAGCUCCGAAACCAUCUAACAGACCUGUGCGUGUACACAUGUGUGUGCUUGUGUGGGAUCAGUCAGACACACAGUGAAAAAGCUUCUGGAUUUUUUUAAAUAGUCCCUUUUCUUUAUUUGGUGAUCAUGAGUUGUCCCAACAAAUCUAGAUCUUUUAUAGGAGCAAAGGGUUGCAACACUGUCUGUAUUUAAGUGUUAUCUAGGAAGAGUUUUUUAAAAUCAGACAUCACAAGCUUCACCCUCAUAGAUUUUGAUAUUAUGCAUUUAAGCAUAUGUGUCAUUUUUAUAUCUUAAUGUUGCAUAGCCCCUAGCCUAGAGGAGUGAGACAACCUUAUGGCCUGGACAUUUUAGGAACAUCAAUUUGCCGGGAAUAGAGGAUUAUACAAGUUGACAAGGAAAUACCUCUUAUUUGGCAAUUUCUUCCUAAAAAGGUGAUGUAUGAAUAGAAGCAUGAAAGAAGUAAGGCAGCCACUUAUGCUAAUAUGUAAAGAAGCACAUUUCAAGAGCAGAAGCCCAAGGAUGCAAGUCAAACAGGGACCCUCUUUGGCAUGUAUGAGGAACAGCCCAGUGUGGGUAGAGCCGAGUGGGUGAGGGUGAGCGUGGCAGAAGUGAAUUACUGCAGUAACAAGGGGACAGAUAGAGCCCCUGUUUGCCAUGAAAACAACCUUGGUUUGUAGCCAAAUGAGAUGAGAAGUUAUUAGAUGAUUUUAAACACAAGAAAUGAUCUGGAUAAGGAGGGAGUGAGGUGGAUGAUGGUCUGAAAAUAGCAUAGGAUCAAUGCAUUGUCUUCUCAGCGUGACUAUAUAAUUGUUAGAAUUGGAGUCCUAGGGGGGUAAACUGAAAAGAUGGGAGACAGUGUAGACCUCUGUACGGCUUAAUAGGAUUUACUAUUAUUAUCUUAGAUUUCUACUCUCUUGCAGAGUAGCAGCUGGUUCAUAUUAUAUUUUAAAUAUUAUAAUUGUUGAAUGUGAAAUUAUGAAGUGAUUAUUUGUAUGAGCAUAAAGUGGGUGGCUGAAGCAGCGUGGUAAAUGUGAUCGCAGGAGGAGAAGUAGUGCUGGAAUUGAAAGGUGAGGGAAUAGAAGCAUUAGCUGAAUGAAUAUUGACUGACAUCACUAAGAAUGGUGAGUUGUGAUGUUGGAAUGUCACAGUGAGAGGGGGCCAAAAUCAUCACAAAGGAGAGUGUGAUUCUGGGUUCUAGAGAUAACUACAACCAACAGGGUGGCAGGUGGUAUAAGCUGAUGGCAUGAGCUUCAAAAUUGGCUGCUUCUGGGGAAGAAGAAGGAAAAUAGAAUAGAAAUGACUGAGGUACAGAAAGAUCACCCACCUCCACUCUAGGCUUGUAGCACCAGGGAUGCAGGCGAGAAAGACACUAUAAGCUUUAAGGAACACAAGGGAAAUCAUGUCUUCAGGGGAGAUCCAGGUUUCAGUUAGAGCGAGAAUGAAGGGAGCCUUCAGAAUCACUCCCCAUAGAUAUAAAUACAUGCAUAACAUGUUUAAUUCUUCCUACAAUGGUGUCCCAAAUAAUGCUACCUAGCUGCUAAUAAACUGGCUUCCAUUAUAAUUUACAUGAAAUUUUAGUGACAUGCUCUCAAAGCCUGUAAUCUAUAUUUUUAAGCUUCUGACUUCUGAACUCAUUCAUCUUUAACAAUGUUCUCCCAAAUGUCAAAAAAACCACUGAUUAUGUUCAGGGCCUCUGUUAACACAUAUGUUGCUAUAGUGUCACUUAGGCCGAGUUCCCAUCCCAUAUAUUGAAACAUUUCAGGAAAUAUCUUCCUUUAAGACCAACACAGACUCCACUGACCCCCUCAGGCCAACUGAAUUCCACCCCUAAAACUACAAGGAACAGAAUUCCAGCAGGAAGAAGACAUUAAAGGAGAAAAAUGGAAACCGUAAGCACCAGGCGAGAAGUGCUUUCCCUCUAUUUAAAAUUGUAUAUAGAGAAAUGAGUUUAUAGGAAGAUGAAAGUGAUUUGUGUCUUUUUUUUCAUUUUAAUACAUAAAUAGUAUUAACUUAGAAACUGCUUGAUGAUUUUACAGGAAAGUUAUUUUUUAAUUUUCCCACUCUAGCUGUUUGAGGAGGUGGAUGUUAGGGAUUUAGAUGCCGAGAGGAAUGAUUUUUAGAAACUUACCAUACUUCUGUGGAAAGUGGUCUUUUCACUUGGUCUCAUUGUGGAUAAACAUAUGCAUGACAUACUUAAGUAACAGGACAUAAAGACUGGGAAAGGUUAGUAACACCCCCCAAAGAAGAGCUAACUAAAUUUUCUUGCAAGUCAGCAGGUAACUUUUAAGACCCUGUUUAUAAAUCCUGCAACAGGACAGCAGGAAAAUAUGGUUAAGUAAAAUUUUAUGCAUAGACCUGAUAUUCUGAAUAGAAUUGUCACACAAGGAAGUUCAAAAAUCAAGAUUACAUUUUAACGAAUUUUCACUGCUAGUGGUUAUUGAGUAACAUUUUUGGCGGGAAAUGCUCCUUUUAGUUUCAGAAUUCAGGGAAUGAAAUACUCCAAAUGCUGGUGAAGGUUUUAUCAUCAAAUUUCAUGGGCUUUCCACUCCAUCCUAUUAUCCAGCUCCUCACGCUUCCCCUCUGGGUACAAGGAUCAGGUAACUUUUUACUUUUUCUCUCAAAUGCACUUGGCUCAAAAUCAAUGACAAAUAAAUGCCAGCCUGUAUUCUUUUUACCUGUAUAAGGUUAGAUGAAGAGGACAUUAUGUUUGGGUCUGCAUGUUAACCAUGUAGCUAUCCAAGUUGUUGGCAACUAGCAAACAGUUUAAGUUUAACAUAUUUGAAAUGGUGACUUAGUAAACAGAAAAUGAAUGAAAUGUAAUAAACACUUCUUCUGAAUUGAGCCCAAGUAGCUCAAACUAGGCAGCCAGAAACCUAUUUGAAGCAAAUGAAUUCUUUGCACAUUGGUUAGUUCGUUUUGUAUUAUUCCUUGUAACUCAUUUGCUGUUUAAGUUUGAUUUGUUCUUAGGCUCUUCUUGGUCGUUAAGAAGUUCUUCAUUUUUGUGUGUUGUCGAAUCUGUUGGGACUUUUGGUGGGUUUGCUUAUCGUUACAAACUGAGGUACACCGCAAACACAUGGAUGAUGUAAUAAGUACUCAAGCCUUGUCAUUUUAUGGUCACUUAAAAAUAAUUUUAUUAAAGAUAUUUAACUCAAAUUCAUCUGAAGUCAGUUUGAUUAAUGGUAACAGCAAUAAUUAACGUUCUAUAAGGAACAGCAGAAUUUAAAAAAUAUCAUGAUAACUUCUUAUUAAGAAUUUUUUCAUGGGGAAAGUAUCAUUUGAAUUUAGCUAGAUGGUUUAAUCAAAAGCUGAAUGUGGGGUAACAUGCUGAGGACAUAAAAUGUGAUAGGUAAAGAAAUCAUUAUGUUCAGGUUUCUUCUUCUUAACUUACUGCUGCAUCUAAAAUGCAAAAUGGAGAAGAUUAUUACCAAACAAUUCAGAAUCUAGUGACCAGUGUGCAGAAAGCAAUGAUGAAGGGGUGUGUUGCGCAGGCAUGCAUCGCUAUGGGGUGGGUGAUAGCUUGCUGCUCUUGCACGUGUUUCUUUUGACUUCUCUUACAUUUCCUGUCUUUCCUCCAGGGCAGGGACUACAUCACCUGUAAUGGUGAACGUGCCUAUGGUUAUUUAUACCUGGCAUUACGGCUGUAUAUGCUCUUUUAAUAUUCACAAUACCCUGUGAGUUAGGUGCCAUUAAGCCCAUUGUUUCAGAUAAAAAUCCUAAGCAGGAAGAUAAAAGAUUGCUACAAGACCACACUUCUUAAAAGUAACCUAGGCUUCUAUCAACUGACAGCUUCUCAGAAUUUACUUGUUUCUGAUGGAUUUGAUUAUCUUGAGGUGUUCUGGUUGAGUAUUUCAUAGAAUUACACUCAAUCAAAAUUUGAUGUUUUUCUCAUGAUUAGACUGGGGUUAUGAA